AUGGAGUUAGUUUAAUUUGUAGAGGACUGAAAAUCCUCGUGUCGGUGGUUCGAUUCCGCCUCUGGGCACCA
rnacentral:tRNA from 1 species